rnacentral:rRNA from 1 species
GACGAACGCUGGCGGCGUGCUUAACACAUGCAAGUCGAACGGAAAGGCCCUGCUUUUGUGGGGUGCUCGAGUGGCGAACGGGUGAGUAACACGUGAGUAACCUGCCCUUGACUUUGGGAUGACUUCAGGAAACUGGGGCUAAUACCGGAUAGGAGCUCCUGCUGCAUGGUGGGGGUUGGAAAGUUUCGGCGGUUGGGGAUGGACUCGCGGCUUAUCAGCUUGUUGGUGGGGUAGUGGCUUACCAAGGCUUUGACGGGUAGCCGGCCUGAGAGGGUGACCGGCCACAUUGGGACUGAGAUACGGCCCAGACUCCUACGGGAGGCAGCAGUGGGGAAUAUUGCACAAUGGGCGGAAGCCUGAUGCAGCAACGCCGCGUGCGGGAUGACGGCCUUCGGGUUGUAAACCUCUUUCGCCUGUGACGAAGCGUGAGUGACGGUAAUGGGUAAAGAAGCACCGGCUAACUACGUG